UGCUUUGACUUUAUAGGUGUGACUGCUCGUUUUACUUAUUCCAGAAGAAACCUCCCAAAAUAAAUCCGUAUAGGAGGAUUCGAACACGGGGAAUGACUAGUUGCUUAAGCGUUCACGUUAGGGUCACACAAUCAAUUAUCUCUUGAAUGUAUUGUCUCUAUUUCCAAUAUCUGAACACACAAAGAAACUAUAAUCUCCUCCUUCACCUUAUUGGUCUCUUCCUUACAGCAAUUCAGUCAUACCAAUAACUGCUAUUUCCACCAAUAUAUUCACCCUCAUAAUCUCCAACUGUAAUACUGUGCUCUCACAUCUUUCAGCACACAAUUACCUUCAUUCCAAUCAUUGGAAUUCUUCACACAGAACUGCCAUUCACAUUACACUGUUUCACACAAACACAAACUCAUUCUCUCUACUCAACUACAAUCAGAUUUCAGCAUUCAAUCUUUCUUCUUCUCAAAUAAUAUCAAUCACAUUUCCAUUCCAUAAUUCACUUCACAAUAUUCAAAAACUCUCAAUCAUCUUAUUCAAAGAAAAUAACAAACCAAAAAAAAAGAGGUAGCACCAAGCUUACCCCGGCUCACACUAUCACAGCAAUGGCCCUCGGCUCAUGACUAUCACAGUCUGGCCCUCGGCUCACGACUCUCACAGUCUGGCACCCUAAUUAACUUCUACAACUCCUAUAUACUUUUCCCUGAUUCUCCAGAUUUCAACCGUAAUUCUGUAAUUAACCACUUUUAAUAACUAAAUCACUCAUCCGUCUUCCUAAAUUUCCUAUUAUAUGGACUAUUAAUAUAUUUUAUCAAUAUCUUUC
rnacentral:lncRNA from 1 species